GCCCGGUUAGCUCAGUUGGUAGAGCGCCAGACUCUUAAUCUGGUGGUCGUGGGUUCGAGCCCCACAUUGGGCG
rnacentral:tRNA from 1 species